rnacentral:lncRNA from 1 species
CAUUGCAAUUUUCCAUAUGAUCCCCUUCGUUUCCAUGGCUGCUUGGUUCCCCCAUGAUAAGAGUUGCACUUUCAGUAUAAUGCCGUUUCUCCAUGCUCUUAUCAACCUGUUGGUUUUGAGAUUGCUGCUGAUACCCAUGUUCCAGGUUAGUCGGUGUACCAUCUUUGGUAGUGUUUGUAGUUUUAAUGGUAAUGGUUUUUGAUGCUAAUACAGAAGGAUUAGGGAUAGGGGGGCUAGGGUUUGAUUUUGGAACAGGAUCAUGAUUAAUCUGUGGUGAUUUAUGGGUAAUAAGGUUCAAUGGUUUAUGGGUUCUUGGAUCUAUUCCUUGGCUGAUCAGCUUCUUGCUUAGAUGGGUAUUCCAGUAGUUCUUUAUUUCAUUAUCUGUACGCCCUGGAAUCCUACCAGCUAUCAGUGACCACCUGCAAGAUUCAAAAUGGAACAAGUAAGAACCCUAAAUAAGAGACUAUACAGUAUUUAAAAUAAAACCCUAAAGAAAUGAACACAAAAACCUUAAAUUUAGCUUCUUAUCAAUAAUUUUAAACAUGAUCCCCGAUUUAAUAGCGUGUAAAACACAAAACCCAAACAAAAAUUCGAUCUAUUUCUGCACGUUCUUACCCUAAUCAUUAGAAAAAGCAGAGAAAACAGUGUUUGUUGUUGAAUGUUGGAGAUAUAUGGAUUAAUAUUGUUAAUCUGGGUACCUGUUACCGAGCAGGCGAUGAAGGCGAAGAAUGAGAUCUUCUUCAUCGGGAGCAAUACGACCUCGUUUAACAGAGGGUCGGAGAUAAUUCAUCCACCGGAGACGACAACUCUUACCGCAUCGAAGCAAACCAGCUCGUUUAGGCAAAGUCCGCCAUCGUCCUUC